GCAACAAAGGGCCUUGUUCUCGCUACAGCAGUGUCCCGCCUUUGUCUGAUCCAGCCCGGUGCGUCACUCUCUGUAAACAACAGCAACGUGUCCACCCAGCUGCCGGUCCCUGCCCCCACGAGAGCUCCAAGGGGAGCUGAGGCCUCUCCGACGGGAGCCGUGCUAGGAGAGCAGCGGACAGGAAACCUCUCCUCACCAGUGUUCAGCCAUGUGUGUGGGUCCUGAUAAUCCAAGUCAAUCUGAACUACAGCUCCAUGGCCCUGGUGGUUGGUUCAGGGAUGGAUCCCUGUGCCACUGCCACCUCUCCUGACACCAACCCCAGCUCUCAGCAGGUUAGGGCUGAGCCUCCCUCUCCAGUGUCCUUGUUCGUAAAGUAGAAUGCAAGGUGAUCCCUGAUCUCCAUCUGUUGUCAGAGAGCUGCCUUUCCAAGAUCCUUUUGGUGUCUGACUACAUAGGAGAAGAGGGAGAAUACAAGAAAGAAGAAACACUCCAGGGACACAAAGAGGACUGAAAGGUGUCAAGAGCCUCUUUAAGUAGAAAUGUUUAAAGUGAAGGAGACUAGGAAAUGGCAAGAAUACUUGAAGUCUUCCCAAAGACUAAACAGUUUAUAAAGGUACCACAAACAUCCUUGAAAUGUUAUUGCAUUUUGUUAACACUGUCCCAAAAGUGCAGUAUAGCAGUAGGUAAAUUCAACCAACAGAAGAAAACUUAGGAGUGAAGAAAAGACAAGACCUUGUACUUUCACUCACUCACUUUGUGUGUGGACAUUAGCAUGCCUUUUGGAGAGCUAGGAGCAGAGGGCUGUGUGUCCAUCUCCUUUAUGGCCGUCACACUGAGCAUUGUGAGGUUACAUAUUUGAGUUUGACCCUAUCAAUUUGAUUCCACCAACAAAGCCUUUAUCAUUUCUCAAUGAAUCAAUAUUUCUAUUAAUAUUUGUGUUUAAAACUGUUAAAUAAUUAGGCCCUAUACAAAAACCACACAGCAAAACCCUGCACUCUAUUUGAACUAAAACUCACUAAAAUAGUUAAUAGUUUUUGUCAUAGAAUUUGGAGAACUGUGAAAAUGUGAGGUUUCUUCUGGUUGUUUAUAAAAUUCAAUGUUUUAAAAUUUAAAAAAUAAUUGAUUUAGAGAGAGAGUGAGGAAGGGAGAGGGACAGAGAGAAACACCAAUGUGAGAGUGAAACAUUAAUCAGCUGCCUCCUACA